rnacentral:snoRNA from 1 species
GUGAUAGAGAGGUUUCCGGAGCGACCGAUGAGCGGGCCGUUGUAGCUGA